UACGGAGGGGGCUAGCGUUGUUCGGAAUUACUGGGCGUAAAGCGCACGUAGGCGGCGAUUUAAGUCAGAGGUGAAAGCCCUGGGCUCAACCUGGGAACGGCAUUUGAAACUGGCGAGCUAGAGUUUGGGAGAGGAGAGUGGAAUUUCAGGUGUAGCGGUGAAAUGCGUAGAGAUCUGAAGGAACACCAGUGGCGAAGGCGACUCUCUGGCCUAAAACUGACGCUGAGGUACGAAAGCGUGGGUAGCAAACAGG
rnacentral:rRNA from 1 species